CUUUGAAGCCCUUAGCAUGUGUCUCGAAGCAGUAAAGCUGUAUAGCAAACAACUUCAAAAUCUCAGAUGCUCAAAAUAGCAAAUAUUUAUUUUCCCCAUUUACAGAUCAUGGACCAGCUGUCACUCUGCUGGACUCAGCUAGGCUAUUUUGGUCUGUAGAAAGCUGGUCAGAGUCAAAUCUGCUCCAUGUGUCUUCAUCGUUCUGAGACCACUAGGACUUAAGACCCAGGGCCUGCGUGUGAUCUUCAUAUGGUAGUCACAAGGAAGCAGUUCCCACCCACUGCAGUGGGUCUCAUCACCACCACCAUGCUGAAACCCUCUCCACCCAGGCUACCCUACCCUUCAGGUUGGAGGUCAAUGAACAUGCUUCAGUCUUUCUCAGAUUUGAACUUCCCUAAAGUCAUACUAUAGUUUGUUGGGGUAAGUUUGUUGGGAUUUUUUUGAUUACCAAUUUAAUUUUGUUACUAUAUUUGGUCUGUUUAAAUUUUCUGUAUCUCCUGAUUCUGUUUGGAGAAGUUAAGUGUUUCUAGAAAUUCAUCCAUUUAUUCUAAGUUGUCCAAUUUAUUGGCAUAUAAUUCUUCAUAUUAUAUCAACCUUGUUCAUCUUUGAACAUACUGAAUCAUUAGGCAUCUUCUUGAGAUUUUGGGAGCAUAUUCUUUCAUUUUUUUCUAUGUAUCUAAAUGUGCCUUCUUAGUCCUCUUCCUCUGCUCCUUGUCCUUAAAAGCUUAUGACUAGGGUCUUAUUCCCUUAGAUGCUGUCUUGUCUUUAUCUUAGAUAGUCUUCUCUUUUCUCCCCUCCCCCUCUAGUACUUCUCCCCCUCUCCCCUUAUUUCUCUCGGUCCCUUUCCCUAACUCAUUCUAAUCUUAGAAUACCUUAUCAAUUCCUCUGGUUUUAGAUCCUUUAUGAAGUUUACUCUGUAUUACUAACUGUGUGCUUUUCUGG
rnacentral:lncRNA from 12 species